rnacentral:lncRNA from 1 species
GCAUUCUUUUUUUGAUGAGAGGCAUCUCUAGGUACCAUCCCUGACCUGGUCCUCAUGCUGCCGAGGCUGUUGCUGUUGAUCUGUGCUCCACUCUGUGAACCUGCCGGUGAGUUGCACUUCCUUUUCUUCUUCAAGGUCUGUGGGUAUUUUGUUACUUAGGUCAGCACAGGAGGCCUGCAGAUUGCUGUCUUAGCAGCCCCUUCCUGCCCAAAACAUAUCAGGGUGACAGCUGCUGAGGUGUACAAACAUCAGUGGCUCCCUUGGGCCUGGGCUGCUCUGUCUUCACAUCAGUCUCUGCACCUGACACGUGUCUGCUCAGUGGGGUGAACAGGUCUUGCUCUGACCUUCUCAAGAACACAGUCUUACUUCCGGGAAGUCCCAGCACAGGGAGGGAGACACUGUUUGCACAAGGAAGGCAAAGGGUGCUGAAGAUUCAUGCUAGAAGCAUCUCUGUCCUCCCAGCCUCAGGAGCUCCAAUUCCCAGUUGUGCUUCUCAGCUGGGUGUGUCACCAUGGGUGAUGAAGGAAAUGCCAAAAUCACACAUCCACGGAGAACAUUAG